rnacentral:rRNA from 1 species
GACGAACGCUGGCGGCGUGCCUAAUACAUGCCAGUAGAACGCUGAAGGAGGAGCUUGCUCUUCUGGAUGAGUUGCGAACGGGUGAGUAACGCGUAGGUAACCUGCCUGGUAGCGGGGGAUAACUAUUGGAAACGAUAGCUAAUACCGCAUAAAAUUGAUUAUUGCAUGAUAGUCAAUUAAAAGGUGCAAUUGCAUCACUACCAGAUGGACCUGCGUUGUAUUAGCUAGUUGGUGAGGUAACGGCUCACCAAGGCAACGAUACAUAGCCGACCUGAGAGGGUGAUCGGCCACACUGGGACUGAGACACGGCCCAGACUCCUACGGGAGGCAGCAGUAGGGAAUCUUCGGCAAUGGACGGAAGUCUGACCGAGCAACGCCGCGUGAGUGAAGAAGGGUUUCGGAUCGUAAAGCUCUGUUGUAAGAGAAGAACGAGUGUGAGAGUGGAAAGUUCACACUGUGACGGUAUCUUACCAGAAAGGGACGGCUAACUACGUG